rnacentral:rRNA from 1 species
AGGGAAUCUUCGGCAAUGGGGGGAACCCUGACCGAGCAACGCCGCGUGAGUGAAGAAGGUUUUCGGAUCGUAAAGCUCUGUUGUAAGAGAAGAACGUGUGUGAGAGUGGAAAGUUCACACAGUGACGGUAACUUACCAGAAAGGGACGGCUAACUACGUGCCAGCAGCCGCGGUAAUACGUAGGUCCCGAGCGUUGUCCGGAUUUAUUGGGCGUAAAGCGAGCGCAGGUGGUUGUAUAAGUCUGAAGUAAAAGGCAGUGGCUCAACCAUUGUGUGCUUUGGAAACUGUACAACUUGAGUGCAGAAGGGGAGAGUGGAAUUCCAUGUGUAGCGGUGAAAUGCGUAGAUAUAUGGAGGAACACCGGUGGCGAAAGCGGCUCUCUGGUCUGUAACUGACACUGAGGCUCGAAAGCGUGGGGAGCAAAC